GGUUAAGCGACUAAGCGUACACGGUGGAUGCCCUGGCAGUCAGAGGCGAUGAAGGACGUGCUAAUCUGCGAUAAGCGCCGGUAAGGUGAUAUGAACCGUUAUAACCGGCGAUUUCCGAAUGGGGAAACCCAGUGUGACUCGUCACACUAUCAUUAACUGAAUCCAUAGGUUAAUGAGGCGAACCGGGGGAACUGAAACAUCUAAGUACCCCGAGGAAAAGAAAUCAACCGAGAUUCCCCCAGUAGCGGCGAGCGAACGGGGAGGAGCCCAGAGCCUGAAUCAGCAUGUGUGUUAGUGGAAGCGUCUGGAAAGGCGCGCGAUACAGGGUGACAGCCCCGUACACAAAAGCGCAUGUGCUGUGAGCUCGAUGAGUAGGGCGGGACACGUGGUAUCCUGUCUGAAUAUGGGGGGACCAUCCUCCAAGGCUAAAUACUCCUGACUGACCGAUAGUGAACCAGUACCGUGAGGGAAAGGCGAAAAGAACCCCGGCGAGGGGAGUGAAAAAGAACCUGAAACCGUGUACGUACAAGCAGUGGGAGCACAGGUUUACCUGUGUGACUGCGUACCUUUUGUAUAAUGGGUCAGCGACUUAUAUUCUGUAGCAAGGUUAACCGCAUAGGGGAGCCGCAGGGAAACCGAGUCUUAACCGGGCGUUAAGUUGCAGGGUAUAGACCCGAAACCCGGUGAUCUAGCCAUGGGCAGGUUGAAGGUUGGGUAACACUAACUGGAGGACCGAACCGACUAAUGUUGAAAAAUUAGCGGAUGACCUGUGGCUGGGGGUGAAAGGCCAAUCAAACCGGGAGAUAGCUGGUUCUCCCCGAAAGCUAUUUAGGUAGCGCCUCGUGAAUUCAUCUCCGGGGGUAGAGCACUGUUUCGGCUAGGGGGUCAUCCCGACUUACCAACCCGAUGCAAACUGCGAAUACCGGAGAAUGUUAUCACGGGAGACACACGGCGGGUGCUAACGUCCGUCGUGAAGAGGGAAACAACCCAGACCGCCAGCUAAGGUCCCAAAGUCAUGGUUAAGUGGGAAACGAUGUGGGAAGGCCCAGACAGCCAGGAUGUUGGCUUAGAAGCAGCCAUCAUUUAAAGAAAGCGUAAUAGCUCACUGGUCGAGUCGGCCUGCGCGGAAGAUGUAACGGGGCUAAACCAUGCACCGAAGCUGCGGCAGCGAACGUAUCACCCAAGACAACUUUGCGGAGUUGACGAUUGACGGAGCGAAGCGACGUCAAAGCGUUCAUUAAAGUCGAGUUGGCUUAGGGAUACGUUCGUUGGGUAGGGGAGCGUUCUGUAAGCCUGUGAAGGUAUGCUGUGAGGCAUGCUGGAGGUAUCAGAAGUGCGAAUGCUGACAUAAGUAACGAUAAAGCGGGUGAAAAGCCCGCUCGCCGGAAGACCAAGGGUUCCUGUCCAACGUUAAUCGGGGCAGGGUGAGUCGACCCCUAAGGCGAGGCCGAAAGGCGUAGUCGAUGGGAAACGGGUUAAUAUUCCCGUACUUGGUGUUACUGCGAAGGGGGGACGGAGAAGGCUAUGUUGGCCGGGCGACGGUUGUCCCGGUUUAAGCGUGUAGGUGUGUGUUCCAGGUAAAUCCGGUUCACUUUAACACUGAGGCGUGACGACGAGGCACUACGGUGCUGAAGCAACAAAUGCCCUGCUUCCAGGAAAAGCCUCUAAGCAUCAGGUAACAUCAAAUCGUACCCCAAACCGACACAGGUGGUCAGGUAGAGAAUACCAAGGCGCUUGAGAGAACUCGGGUGAAGGAACUAGGCAAAAUGGUGCCGUAACUUCGGGAGAAGGCACGCUGACAUGUAGGUGAAGUGAUUUACUCAUGGAGCUGAAGUCAGUCGAAGAUACCAGCUGGCUGCAACUGUUUAUUAAAAACACAGCACUGUGCAAACACGAAAGUGGACGUAUACGGUGUGACGCCUGCCCGGUGCCGGAAGGUUAAUUGAUGGGGUCAGCGCAAGCGAAGCUCCUGAUCGAAGCCCCGGUAAACGGCGGCCGUAACUAUAACGGUCCUAAGGUAGCGAAAUUCCUUGUCGGGUAAGUUCCGACCUGCACGAAUGGCGUAAUGAUGGCCAGGCUGUCUCCACCCGAGACUCAGUGAAAUUGAACUCGCUGUGAAGAUGCAGUGUACCCGCGGCAAGACGGAAAGACCCCGUGAACCUUUACUAUAGCUUGACACUGAACAUUGAGCCUUGAUGUGUAGGAUAGGUGGGAGGCUUUGAAGUGUGGACGCCAGUCUGCAUGGAGCCGACCUUGAAAUACCACCCUUUAAUGUUUGAUGUUCUAACGUGGACCCGUAAUCCGGGUUGCGGACAGUGUCUGGUGGGUAGUUUGACUGGGGCGGUCUCCUCCUAAAGAGUAACGGAGGAGCACGAAGGUUGGCUAAUCCUGGUCGGACAUCAGGAGGUUAGUGCAAUGGCAUAAGCCAGCUUGACUGCGAGCGUGACGGCGCGAGCAGGUGCGAAAGCAGGUCAUAGUGAUCCGGUGGUUCUGAAUGGAAGGGCCAUCGCUCAACGGAUAAAAGGUACUCCGGGGAUAACAGGCUGAUACCGCCCAAGAGUUCAUAUCGACGGCGGUGUUUGGCACCUCGAUGUCGGCUCAUCACAUCCUGGGGCUGAAGUAGGUCCCAAGGGUAUGGCUGUUCGCCAUUUAAAGUGGUACGCGAGCUGGGUUUAGAACGUCGUGAGACAGUUCGGUCCCUAUCUGCCGUGGGCGCUGGAGAACUGAGGGGGGCUGCUCCUAGUACGAGAGGACCGGAGUGGACGCAUCACUGGUGUUCGGGUUGUCAUGCCAAUGGCACUGCCCGGUAGCUAAAUGCGGAAGAGAUAAGUGCUGAAAGCAUCUAAGCACGAAACUUGCCCCGAGAUGAGUUCUCCCUGAGACUUUAGGUCUCCUGAAGGAACGUUGAAGACGACGACGUUGAUAGGCCGGGUGUGUAAGCGCAGCGAUGCGUUGAGCUAACCGGUACUAAUGAACCGUGAGGCUUAACCUU
rnacentral:rRNA from 1 species